AUAAAUUCUUAAUGCUAGAAAUAAUCACACUAAAAUCUGAAUUACCACCAUAAUUUGUAAGAAUUGAUUGCACCACCAUCUGUGAGUCACUCUUAAUAUAAUGUUUUCCAUUUGCAUAUGAAUGACUGCAUGUGCAACUUCUUUCAAGGCCAAUGCUUCAGCCUCUGUGACAGAAUAAGUUCCAAAAUCCCAUGUUAUUCUUGCACUGAUAAACCUUUCGUUUCCAUCUCGAAAACACCACCUUAUAUUUGUUGUUACAUUUUGGUUAUUAAAGUUGG
rnacentral:lncRNA from 1 species